rnacentral:lncRNA from 1 species
AGAAAUCUUCUCAGUGAGCUGCUAUUCAGACUCAGAAAGUAGCUUGGAGAAUACUCCAGACGUUAGGCUUUGCGAGUUUUUGUUUGUUUACAUAGAAAAGUCUCUUUUAAAUUUCCUUAUUCUUACACUGCAAAGAGACCUAACCUUGAUGGGUCCCAUCUGCAAUGCUCCUCCUGAAAAGAGACAGAGCUGUUUAACUGAACUGACCUAUUUGGAGGACGAAUAGACUGAUUGAAAAAGGUGCCCAGGAAGUCCUGGAACUGAGUCCUGGGGCAAGGUUCUGGAAGUUGGGACAAGAAGGCUGAACCUCGCUGGUGAUUCAGAUGGAUCAUGAGGAUCUUUCAACAAAGCUAAGUUCCCGUCUUUUAACGCAGUUAUUCUCAUACUUUUAUACUGAAAUAUCCAGAAUAGCAAAUGAGUUAAAUAUGUUUUCUGUGGGGUUCUGUACAAAGAAGAUUUAGAGCUUUAUGAACCUAAAAUAACAUAUCACAAGGAGAAAAUUUACUUGAAGUGGGAGACUUGGCUUAAAAGCAUCUAAUAUAAAUUGUAUAUUAUAUUCAAUAAUACAAAAGCAAUGCUUUAUUUAGAAUGAAUUAAAAUGCAUGCUUCAGACAAAAUGCAUGAUGUUUAGCUUUUGAUUUACUGAAUAUACUAUUCAACAGAUGUUUGAGUUACAUAGUUUGAGGAGCACAGGCCUUUGGUAUUGAUGGCUCCUGUUAAAAUAAAAACAUGUUUUCUGAGAGCAUAAUCAUAUGAAACCAGGAGCACAUAUUAACAUAAAACUCAAAUCACUUCCCCUGACUUUCUUCUUUCAAAUGUAAAGAAAGUGGGAAACAGGACAGAUGAAUUUGAAGAAACAGAAGAGCUCAGGAAAGUUCAAAGCAUGAAGCAAACUCAAAAGUAUAUCUAAAUACCUAGGGAGCACCUUCAAAGCACAAGGUACCUGAAGAUGAAACGGCAGAAGUGAAAAGAAUUGCUCGUGUAGUACAGGGCUAAAAUUGUACCUGAAGCAUCUCUGCUGCUAUCCCAGGAGAAGAAGAGUCGACAGUAGCUAUGGUAAACAUGCAUGGAAGCAUCAGGGAAAACAGAAAUUUAGAGAAGCAGAUAGAGUGAGCCCAAGGCAAGAUAAGGGUUUCUGGGUCUGAAUUUCAGAAAAGCCUGACUAUGGAGAGUGGGAGUUCCUGUUUUCUUUCAGUGACUUGCUAAUUUCAAUUUUGUGUGUGUGUGGCAUUAACAGAUUUUUGCCUAACUUGGGACAUUUUUAACAGUAGAGGAACUCUUCUGUCAGUUCUGAUAUGGUAAUUUUAAAACACAUAUUCUUUAACUGAACAUUCAUUAAAUCACUUGGCCAGGAAUCCAAAUAACAAAAUGUCUGUCAUGGAAUUCUGUGUGUAAUAGGAGUUAUGUAACUUGUUUCUUCUUAGUAGAGAGAAUAAAAAGUAAAGUCAAAACCACCCCCAGAUGACCAUUUUUAGCACUUUCAUUUUAUCGGGAGAGGUGAGCAACAUGCAGAAAAUAUAUAUUCUUGAAUUAAUCUCCUUUGGGUACAGAGAGAAAAGAGCUCAUUAUUCUUCUAACUGGCAACGUUUGAUUUUAUUGACACCCUAACAGUAUGUCAAUUGCUCAGUAUAUCUCCCUAGGCUGUAGUCUUGCAGACUUUCUUUUUUCUUUUUUUUUUUAACUUACCAAUUCUAUGAUGUAUUCCCAUGGAUGUCUCUUUUUAUGCUAUUUUACAAUCUAUUUCUAGAAUAAUCAUGGAAAUUUCAAUGGAAACAACAUAUCACAUUCUCUGUCUACUACAUAAGUAUGUCUUUUUUAUUUGUAAAUAGAUCAUAUUUUGCACAUAAUUAGGUAAUACCCACAUAUCUCAAUUUGGCUUAGGAAUUAUAUUGAAAGAUAGAAUUGCAUAAGGGUAGGGAUUUUACUUUUAAAUUAUUUUCAUGUCUCCAUGGAUUGGCUCUGUGCUUUACACCCAGUAGCUGUGAAACAAGUACUUAUUUAAUGAUGAAUGAAUAAAUAAAUAAAUAGUUAAAUGCAGCAACAAAAAUGUUGGUAGAUAUAUAGGAUUGUAGAAUCUAAUUGCUUAGUAGGAUCAUCAAGUUCUACCCAAAUUUGGUGUGGCAAACAGAACAAUGGUCCCUUAAGGAUGGCCUAGUCCUAACCUCCCAAACCUGGAAUAUGUUACCUUAUGUAACAAAGAGACUUUGCAGAUGUAAUUAAGUUAAUGAUCUUAAGACAGAAAUAUUAUUCUAAGUGAACUCAAUGAAAUUACAAUGAACAAUGUUCCUUAAAAGAGGAAGGCAAAAGUUCAGAAUGAAACACACAGACACACAUAAAGUGGCUACGAAAGCAGAAGUAGUGAGAGAUUUGAAGAUGCUACCUUACUAGAUUCAAAGACAGAGGAAGGGGUUAAAAUCUGAGGAAAUCAGGCAAGGCAGCCUUUCGAAGCUGCAGAAGAUGAGGAAAUGAAUUCUCCCUAGAACUUCCAGAUAGAAACAGCCCUACUGAUGCCUUGACAUUAGCUCAGUGAAACGUAUUUUCAGACUCUAACUUCCAGAUCUGUAGGAGAUAAAUUUGUGUUGUUUAAGCUACUACAUUUGUGGCAGUUUGUCAAAGUAGCAAAAGGAAACGUAUAUUUGGUAGGCAUCAGAAUUUCCUGAGCAAUAUAGUGUGAUUACCUUUGAAAAUUCUACUCAGCAGUCCUGGAAUUGCAGCCUGAAAUUUGAAAUUUACUAAGUGCUCCCACUAUAUCUGAGUCAGGAAUUACCUAGGAAACCAUGAUAUAUUGCAUUACACUAAUUUUGUACUUGAGAAAAAGCACAAUGUUAAAAUCUCAAGAACAUUAAUAUAGACUUAAGUACAAUUUAUCAUGUAAAAACAUAUUUGAAAAAGUAAGCCUGAAAAAAAGAAACAACUGAACUAUUAACACUAUAUUCUCUAACUAUAUAUUGAUUUUCUCCUUUUGCUUUUACACAGCGAACCACAUAUACUUUCACAGAGGGUGAUUUGGAUAAUAUGUUCCAUGCAUUGCUCCAAGCAGAAAUUCUCAAUCUAUCAUUUCUGCUUGUAUUAUUUUACACCUCUUAAAGACAUUCACAUUCCAUCACAGGGAGCCAAAAUCAGCCUGUUAUAUCUCUGUUUGCGAAUACCGCAAUACUUACUUUACUUUCUCCUGAAUAGAUUGUUAGUGGUUUUUAUUAUCUCCUGUAAAGAGUGUGAGAAAUGCAUGUUGCAAGGACACUUUUGUUUUAUUCACAUUAUUCUACUGAAUCAUGCUAACCAUAGCAUUACAUCUAUUUAUCUAUCUAGCUAUUAAACAUAUUCAGAAUACCUAACAACUUUAGGGGCAUUCAGUAUAUAGAAUAUGCUAGUAUUUGUUAUUUUCUAAAAAUUAAUAAUUAAGAAUGUCAUUCUAUUAUUGCAUUAGUGACUUAGUUAAAAUUUAGACCAUUA